GGAAUAUUACCUCCGUCCCAAAUUAAUUGUCUUAGAAUUGUCUAGAUAAGGAUCCGUAUCUAAUACUAAAAUAUGUCUAGAUAUAUAUGUAUCUAGAUAAAUCUAAGACAAAUAAUUCGGGGCGGAGGGUGUAUAAU
rfam:Triticum aestivum genome assembly, contig: Triticum_aestivum_CS42_TGACv1_scaffold_471196_6AL